CGCUAAAGAAGUUUGGGACACUCUACGGCAAACAUAUCAGCGUAUUUCUGCUGGAAGCAAGAUGCUGUUAACCAGAAAGUUAUAUAACUUAAAAUUGAAACCGGAUGGCUGUUUAAAUAGCCAUAUAAAUGAAAUGAGAAUGAUUUUUGCUGAUUUAGCUGACAGAGGUCUGCAGUAUGAAGAGGCUCACCGUGCUUACAUACUAUUGUCUUCAUUACCUAAAACUUAUGAUGCAGUUGUAGACUCUUUUCAAGGAAUUGAUGAAGACAGAUUAAAUUUUUCCUUAGUAGUCACACGUUUACAAGAGUGGACUGAGCAAAAGAGGCUAACACGACAAGAAGAAGUUGCGUCAGACAGGGCAGUAAACAUAAAAUCUGAACCUUUGAGUGCCUUGGCAGUGAAAAAGUGCCACUUCUGUCAUAGGAAAGGACAUCUUAUUAAAGACUGUUGGAAACGCAAACAACAGGCGUCCAUUUCUCGUCAGAAAGAGAGCAGCAAGCGGUAUGCUGACAAUUAUAAUGCUUCUGAUAAGCAACACAACAGUUCGACUGCUUUGGUAAUGGCAGUCAGUAAGAAGAAUUCGGCCAAUCCCGUGUGGUACGUGGACAGCGGAAGCUGUGAACAUUUUUCAUCAAGAAGGGACAAUUUGACUGACAUUCACCAGAUUGAGGCGAGAGAUGUAAAGCUAGCUGAUGGACAUACCUGCACCGUCCAUGAAGCGGGAACCGCUUACAUUCCUCAAAUGAAUGCUUCUAUUAGUAAUGUUAUUGUGGCUGACACUUUAAAGUAUUCACUGUUGAGUGUGUCUAGACUCACAAGUGAAGGGUAUAGAGUGCUCUUUCAUGGGGAGGUUUGUCUAAUUUCUGAAAAUGGCAAACUAUAUGGAAAGGCAAUUAAAGAAAAUGGUCUAUACAGAUUGAUAGACAUAUCUGAUAGUGAAGAAGAUGCUAUAAAUUGUAUUUCAAAUAAUUUGCAUAAUUAUUGCAUACAUUAUUACCACAGAAUUUUCGGACAUUGUUCUUUCUCCAGA
ensembl:lncRNA